rnacentral:lncRNA from 1 species
UCCAUUUCCUUUGUAACUUUUCUCACCUUCAAAUCCUUUGAAGGAUGCCUGAGUUUUAAAAAGUUGCUCUAGUGGCUUUCUUUUCUCCUUUCAUUUUCUCUUCGUGGGCUAGUAAAGAACCUUCCAAUUGUUCUACCGUCUUACAGUCUAAAUCUUUAGACUCCUCAAUAGCACACACCACAUAAUCAAAUUUAGGUGUUAAAGAACGAAAG